GGAGGGACAGUGUGAGUUCAGAUUCCAGCCUAGGGCAGAGGGAGCUGUCAGCUAAGAGAGAGGCAGGAGAGCCCCUUGUACUGAGCCUACUGAUGGAGAGAAGAGAGACAAGGAUUAGGGGAGGCCCCUCGAAACCUGCCCGACACAGGACCAACAGUGAAAGGUGAAUCAGAGGACAUCGUAGAGAGGCUGUGUAACACCUGUGACCAUCUCCAUGGCGCCUUGGCCGAGCAAGGAAUGCUGGGCCAGUGUUGCAGGACUCAACCUGCAGCUCGCCAAACUCACCCUGGCUGACCUGGUGGUGCGUCUGCUCUUCACUCUGGGUAACCUAACAUCUCAGAGCAGUGAGGCCAGAGAGCACCUCUUCACAGCUGAGGGGCUGGCAGACAGUGAGGGACUUUGGGCCAGCUGGCUGUCAGACCCUGUGGAACCUCACUGAGAAGGGGGGUGGGGACAGACUCCCCAUCCACACUGGACAACCAGGAGAGAGAGGCACUGCUUGAGGUCCAAACACUGUACCUAGACGAGGAGGAAGCGCUGCAGUGGACCUCUGGUGAUUACAUGAGGGACUUCCACUGAGCAUUCUGGGAGUCAGAGUUCUGUCCUGUGGCUCAGAGGCUGAGGGACAGGAUCCAGACUCAGACUGUCAGCCAUCUACUCAGUCUCCCUCCCUAAAGUGUGAUGUUCUAGCCUUUCUUCUUGUUGUGCCCUGCAAGCAUCCUGUGACAG
rnacentral:lncRNA from 1 species